GCGGUGAUAAGGGGCCGCGGGGGGGCCCCGGCAGCUCCGCCGCCGCCCGCCAUGAGGGCACCGCUCGCCCCCGGUGUCCGCCUGCUUCGUGCCCUGCCCCGGGACAGCCGGUACCGAGGGCUGACGCUGGUGCUGACCUUCCUCUCCUACACCAGCUACCACCUCUCCAGAAAGCCAAUCAGCAUUGUCAAGAGCCAACUGCACCCCAAUUGCUCAGCCUUGGGCCCGAACCCCCACAAUGACUCCAACAGCAGCACAUGGUGCAGCUGGGCACCCUUUGAUGGGGACAACUACAAGGAGCUUUUCGGGGCGCUGGACAAUGCCUUCCUGGUGGCCUACGCCAUCGGCAUGUUCAUCAGUGGCAUCUUCGGGGAGCGCCUGCCCCUGCGCUACUACCUGUCGGGGGGCAUGGUGCUGAGCGGCCUCUUCACUCUGCUCUUCGGCCUCGGCUACUUCUGGCACAUCCACGUCCUCUGGUACUUCAUCGUCGUGCAGGUGUGCAAUGGGCUGGUGCAGACGACUGGCUGGCCCUCUGUCGUGACCUGCGUUGGGAACUGGUUCGGGAAGGGCAAGAGAGGGCUGAUCAUGGGCAUCUGGAACUCACACACCUCCGUGGGCAACAUCCUGGGGUCUCUGAUCGCUGGGGUCUGGGUGUCCUCUGCCUGGGGCCUGUCCUUCAUCGUGCCUGGCAUCAUCAUCGCCGCUGUGGGCAUCAUCUGCUUCUUCUUCCUCGUGGAGUAUCCUGAGGAUGUUGGCUGCAGUCCACCUCUGCAUCAUAUGGCCUCUGAUGAGGAUCCUGGAGGGGUGACCUGCAGCGAGAAGGAUCCUGAAGGGAUCACCUCCAAUGAGGGGCCGCUGAGCAUCUCAGGCCAGAGCAGCAGGGAUCACCUCAACAGCCCCAAGGAGCCAGCUGAGGAGCCUGAGGCCAUCAGCUUCCUGGGGGCACUCCGGAUACCUGGCGUGGUGGAGUUCUCCCUGUGCCUGCUCUUUGCCAAGCUGGUGAGCUACACCUUCCUCUACUGGCUGCCCCUCUACAUCGUCAACGUUGCUCACUUUGGGGCCAAGGAAGCCGGGGACCUGUCGACCCUCUUUGACGCUGGGGGCAUUUUAGGAGGCAUCUUCGCCGGCCUCAUCUCCGACUACACCGGCGGCAGGGCCACCACGUGCUGCGUGAUGCUGGUGGUCGCUGCUCCCAUGCUGUUCCUGUACAACCACAUCGGCCAGAACGGCAUCGGCACCUCCAUAGCGAUGCUGGUGGUCUGCGGCGCGCUGGUGAACGGCCCCUACGCUCUCAUCACCACUGCCGUGUCGGCAGACCUGGGAACCCAUGAGUCUCUCAAAGGAAACGCCAAAGCCCUCUCCACUGUCACAGCCAUCAUUGAUGGCACAGGGUCCAUAGGUGCCGCGCUGGGGCCGCUGCUGGCAGGGCUCAUCUCCCCCACGGGCUGGAACAAUGUCUUCUACAUGCUGAUAGCAGCUGAUGUCUUGGCCUGCCUGCUCCUCACUCGUGUGGUGGUCAAAGAGUUCCGUGGGUGGUGCGGCCCCAUGGCACGGCAGAGAGGGUAUGUACAGCCCCCCCGUGCCAGCCUGUGCCAGGGCCUGGUGCGGCUGCCCCUGUGCAGGGACGUUUGUGAUCCCCUGCUGGCCCUGCUGACCGCAGCGGGCUCCAGGAGGCCCUCUGCCCCGUGUCUGGCUGCUGUGGGCACAGGGGGAUGUGUCCCCAUGAGCCAGGUCGGCACCAGAGGGCAUUUUAGCCCUUGCUGCCUCCCCAGGCUCUCGGUGCUGAGAGGCUGCCCUCGUGUCUUGUAGCUCUAGCGUGCAGCUAACAGAGUCAGUGCUGGAUGGGAAGUAGCUCGGUGUGAGUAUCCCUCAGGAUUAAACACGACCCAGGCCUGAUUCGCCCUGAUUCUGAGUUUCACUUGGCAGGCUCAGCCUAGGAUCACUUCAAAUCAAGAUGUGGGAAUCAGAAGGAUCAAAUCACGGUGGCCAGGGACGGGAGUGCAGCCAGGCGGGUGGGCAGCACGUCCUUAGCAGCGUUAGCCCAGAUUGAUUGGCAUCAAUUAGUGCCCUCCAAAUGCCACAGGCACAGGCUGGCUUCCACCCACACUAAUGAGCUUCGAUUGCACAGCGCCAGGGCUGGCUGAUCAAACCCCCAGCAUGGCAUCCAGGGUGCAGCCCUGGCCCCACUCUGAUUGCCACCAACGCUGCACCAUGAGCACAAGGGGCAAGGGGCUACAGCUGGUCCAGUCACGGGGGUGCCAGACUCCCCUCCCUGAAAACGUUUGGUCCUUUGUGUCUUGUUUGCAGGUGACAGCCAUGGUCUGGGCUCUGCUGUGGUAUAAGGAGUUCUGACCUGACCCCAGCGAGCCGCCCCGAGCCGAGGGGCCCGGAGGGAGGAAAGAGGCUUUGGGGCACGCCGGGAGCGUGUUGGUCUCGGCAGAGCCGAGGCACAGCCUCAGGCAGGGGCCCCGUGGGGCUCCCACCGGCAGCGUG